rnacentral:rRNA from 1 species
UGAUUAUAAAUUAAUGUAAAUUACCAGAGUACUAUGAACAUGCAGUUUAAAACUCAAAGGGCUUGGCGGUGCUUUAGACUCUUCAGGGGAACCUGUCUCGUAAUCGAUAGUCCACGAUAUACCUAACCUUUUUUAGACAUCAGUAUGUAUACCGUCGUCGUCAGGUAACUUUUAAAAAUAAAGAAGUUAGCAACAAAAAUUAGAAUAAUUUUGUACGUCAGAUCAAGGUGCAGCUCAUAAAAAGGUGAGGAUGGGUUACAAUUAAGAAUUAUAAUAACGGAAAGAGGUUUGGCAUAACCUCUAUG